CGGGAGGCAGCAGUGGGGAAUAUUGCACAAUGGGGGAAACCYUGAUGCAGCGACGCCGCGUGAGUGAAGAAGUAUUUCGGUAUGUAAAGCUCUAUCAGCAGGGAAGAAAAUGACGGUACCUGAGUAAGAAGCCCCGGCUAACUACGUGCCAGCAGCCGCGGUAAUACGUAGGGGGCAAGCGUUAUCCGGAUUUACUGGGUGUAAAGGGAGCGCAGACGGCUCUGCAAGUCUGAAGUGAAAGCCCGCGGCUUAACCGCGGGACUGCUUUGGAAACUGCAAGGCUUGAGUAUCGGAGGGGCAGGCGGAAUUCCUAGUGUAGCGGUGAAAUGCGUAGAUAUUAGGAAGAACACCGGUGGCGAAGGCGGCCUGCUGGACGAAAACUGACGUUGAGGCUCGAAGGCGUGGGGAGCAAACAGGAUUAGAUACCCUGGUAGUCCACGCGGUAAACGAUGAAUACUAGGUGUUGGUGCCCGAAGGGCAUCGGUGCCGUCGCAAACGCAAUAAGUAUUCCACCUGGGGAGUACGUUCGCAAGAAUGAAACUCAAAUGAAUUGACGGAAGGG
rnacentral:rRNA from 1 species